rnacentral:tRNA from 1 species
GCGGGUGUAGUUCAAUGGUAGAACGUCUCCUUGCCAAGGAGAAGGUUGAGAGUUCGAGUCUCUUCGCCCGCU